AGAAGGGCGCAUGGCGGAUGCCUUGGCUCUCGGAGGCGAUGAAGGACGUGAUAAGCUGCGAUAAGCUUUGGGGAGGUGCAAAUGACCUUUGAUCCAGAGAUUUCCGAAUGGGACAACCCAAUAUCUUGAAGAGGUAUUAUCCAACGUUGUUGGAGGCUAACGCAGGGAACUGAAACAUCUUAGUACCUGCAGGAAAAGAAAAUAAACAAUGAUUCCCCCAGUAGUGGCGAGCGAACGGGGAACAGCCCAAACCAUCCAUGUUACGGCAUGGGUGGGGUUGUAGGACUACGCCGUUGCAUGAAGACAUCAGAGAAGAACUUUCUGGAAAGAAAGACCAUAGAGCAUGACAGUUGCGUAUUCGAAUGUUGUCGAAGCAUAGUAGUAUCCUGAGUAGCGCGGAGCACGAGGAAUUCUGCGUGAAUCUGCCGGGACCAUCCGGUAAGGCUAAAUACUCCCGAGAGACCGAUAGCGAACCAGUACCGUGAGGGAAAGGUGAAAAGCACUUCGAACAGAAGAGUGAAAUAGUUCCUGAAACCGUGCGCCUACAAGCGGUCGGAGCUCGUUAAUGAGUGACGGCGUGCCUUUUGCAUAAUGAACCUACGAGUUGCCUUUGCCGGCAAGGUUAAGUGUGACGACACACGUAUCCGAAGCGAAAGCGAGUCUGAACAGGGCGUAUAGUCGGCAGUGGCAGACGCGAAACCAAGUGAUCUACCCUUGGCCAGGUUGAAGGCUGGGUAACACCAGCUGGAGGACCGCACCAAUAAGCGUUGAAAAGCUUCUGGAUGAGCUGAGGGUAGGGGUGAAAGGCUAAUCAAACUUGGAGAUAGCUCGUACUCCCCGAAAUGCAUUUAGGUGCAGCCUUGCGGGUUACUGAUGUGAGGUAGAGCGACUGAUAAGAUGCGAGGGCUUCACCGCCUAUCAAGUCUUGACAAACUCCGAAUGCGCAUCAGUUCUACCGCAGGAGUGAGGGCAUGGGUGCUAAGGUCCGUGCCCGAGAGGAGAAGAAUCCGGACCACCUGCUAAGGUCCCGAAAUGACAGCUAAGUUAAACUAACGAAGUCUGACUGCUAAGACAGCUAGGAUGUUGGCUUGGAAGCAGCCAUUCAUUUAAAGAGUGCGUAACAGCUCACUAGUCGAGGAGUCGGGCGUGGAUAAUAAUCGGGUAUCAAGUUGUCUACCGAAGCAGUGGGAUCAUUUAUAUGAUCGGUAGGGGAGCAUUCCAGUCAGCGUCGAAGGCGUACCGUGAGGUAUUCUGGAGCGUCUGGAAAAGCAAAUGUAGGUAUAAGUAACGAUAAAGGGGGCGGGAAACCCCCUCGCCGAAAGACUAAGGUUUCCUGAUCAACGCUAAUCGGAUCAGGGUCAGUCGGGUCCUAAGGCUCAGCCGAACGGCGAUGCCGAUGGCAGAAACGGUUAAUAUUCCGUUACUACCUUCAGGAGUGACGUGGAGACGCAGUAGUGACAGUGCCGCCAUCUGACGGAAUAGAUGGUUGAAGGGUGUAGGAGUCGAUCAUGGCAGGCAAAUCCACCAUGAGAUCCGAACCUGAUAGUAUGCCGCGUCCUUCGGGACAAGGCAAUAGUGCGCGUAAGCAUGCUGCCGAGAAAAUCCGCUAAACUUAAUCCUGCAGGUACCCGUACCGCAAACGGACACACGUAGUCGGGAUGAAUAUUCUAAGGCGCUUGAGUGAUUCACGGUUAAGGAACUAGGCAAACUGACCCUGUAACUUCGGGAUAAAGGGUCCCUACCCUUUUAUGGGAGGGCGCAGAGAAUCGGUCCAGGCAACUGUUUAACAAAAACACAGGGCUGUGCCAAAUCGAAAGAUCCAGUAUACAGCCUGACACCUGCCCGGUGCUGGAAGGUUAAGAGGAGAUGUCAUCGAUAAGAGAAGCGUUGAAUUGAAGCCCCAGUAAACGGCGGCCGUAACUAUAACGGUCCUAAGGUAGCGAAAUUCCUUGUCGGGUAAGUUCCGACCUGCACGAAUGGUGUAAUGAUCUGGACGCUGUCUCAACCGUGAGCUCAGUGAAAUUGUAGUAUCGGUGAAGAUGCCGAUUACCCGCGAUGGGACGAAAAGACCCCGUGAACCUUUACUAUAGCUUAUCAUUGAAUCUGGGCACGUGAUGUGUAGGAUAGGUCGGAGGCUUUGAAGCAGGUACGCCAGUAUUUGUGGAGCCGCUGUUGAAAUACGACCCUUUAUUUGUUUGGAUUCUAACCCGUGGAACGGGGACAUUGAUUGGUGGGUAGUUUGACUGGGGUGGUCGCCUCCAAAAGCGUAACGGAGGCUUCUAAAGGUGCCCUCCGGCCGAUUGGUAACCGGCCUUAGAGUGUAAUGGCAUAAGGGCGCUUGACUGGGAGACUGACAAGUCGAUCAGGUAGGAAACUAGAGCAUAGUGAUCCGGUGUUUCCGUAUGGAAGGGACAUCGCUCAAAGGAUAAAAGGUACUCCGGGGAUAACAGGCUGAUCCCUCCCAAGAGCUCAUAUCGACGGAGUGGUUUGGCACCUCGAUGUCGGCUCGUCACAUCCUGGGGCUGGAGAAGGUCCCAAGGGUUGGGCUGUUCGCCCAUUAAAGUGGCACGCGAGCUGGGUUCAGAACGUCGUGAGACAGUUCGGUCUCUAUCUAUCGUGGGCGCAUGAAAUUUGCGUGGCUCUGACACUAGUACGAGAGGACCGUGUUGGACAGACCUCUGGUUUGCCGGUUGUGCCGCCAGGUGCAUUGCCGGGUAUCUAAGUCUGGAUCGGAUAAGUGCUGAAAGCAUCUAAGUACGAAGCCGGCCACAAGAUUAGAUUUCUCAGGGUCGUUGUAGACUACGACGUUGAUAGGAUGCAGGUGUAAAGAUGGAGACAUCAAAGCCGAGCAUUACUAAUUGCCCGUUCACUUUCUU
rnacentral:rRNA from 1 species